CCCCUAAAUAGGGACUAGAAUGAACGGCUAAAUGAGGACUUCACUGUCUCCUGCCGCCAGUCAAUGAAACUGAUCUCCCAGUCCAAAAGCUGGGAUACUUACAUAAGACAAAAAGACCCUGUGGAGCUUUAAACCAAAAAUAAAAACAUAUUCACCUGGUUUUUAGUUGGGGCGACUUCGGAACAAAAAAAACUUCCGAAAUAAUGGAACUAAACCCAUAUAACUAAGGCCAACACGCCAAAUACAACCACAAAACUUGACCCAGUACAAGAUACUGACCAAUGAACCAAGUUACCCCAGGGAUAACAGCGCCAUCUUCUUUUAGAGUUCAUAUCGACAAGAAGGUUUACGACCUCGAUGUUGGAUCAGGACAUCCCAAUAGUGCAACCGCUAUUAAAGGUUCG
rnacentral:rRNA from 1 species